rnacentral:rRNA from 1 species
AAGCUAGGGGAGCGAACAGGAUUAGAGCCUGGUAGUCCUAGCUGUAAACGCUGGGUGCUAGGUGUGGGACGUAGAAGUUCCGUGCCGGAGCAAACGCGAUAAGCACCCCGCUGGGAAUUACGGUCGCAAGGCUAAAACUCAAACGAAUUGACGGGGCCCCGCACAAGCAGCGGAGCGUGUGGUUCAAUUCGAUGCUACACGAAGAACCUUACCUGGGUUUGACAUGUACGUGGUACGAAGGCGAAAGCCUAAGGACCCUUCGGGGAGCGUACACAGGUGCUGCAUGGCUGUCGUCAGCUCGUGCCGUGAGGUGUCGGGUUAAGUCCCGUAACGAGCGCAACCCUUGCCCUUAGUUACAAGUGUCUAAGGGGACUGCCGGCGGGAAGCCGGAGGAAGGUGGGGAUGACGUCAAGUCAGCAUGGCCCUUAUGUCCAGGGCUACACACACGCUACAAUGGUCAGUACAAAGGGUAGCGAAGUCGCGAGGCGGAGCGAAUCUCAACAAAGCUGAUCGUAGUUCGGAUUGCAGGCUGCAACCCGCCUGCAUGAAGCUGGAGUUGCUAGUAACCGCGCGUCAGCCAUAGUGCGGUGAAUACGUACCCGGGGCUUGUACACACCGCCCGUCACGUCAUGGGAGUCGGUAACGCCUGAAGCCGGUAGUCCGGCCCGCAAGGGGGGACGCUGUCGAAGGCGGGACUGGCAACUGGGACGAAGUCGUAACAAGGUAACCAAGGGCGAA